rnacentral:rRNA from 1 species
AUUGAACGCUGGCGGCAUGCUUUACACAUGCAAGUCGAACGGUAACAGGCCGCAAGGUGCUGACGAGUGGCGAACGGGUGAGUAAUGCAUCGGAACGUGCCCAGUCGUGGGGGAUAACUACUCGAAAGAGUAGCUAAUACCGCAUACGAUCUACGGAUGAAAGCGGGGGACCGUAAGGCCUCGCGCGAUUGGAGCGGCCGAUGUCAGAUUAGGUAGUUUGUGGGGUAAAGGCUCACCAAGCCAACGAUCUGUAGCUGGUCUGAGAGGACGACCAGCCACACUGGGACUGAGACACGGCCCAGACUCCUACGGGAGGCAGCAGUGGGGAAUUUUGGACAAAGGGCGCAAGCCUGAUCCAGCAAUGCCGCGUGCAGGAAGAAGGCCUUCGGGUUGUAAACUGCUUUUGUACGGAACGAAACGGCUCUGGUUAAUACCCGGGGCUAAUGACGGUACCGUAAGAAUAAGCACCGGCUAACUACGUG